rnacentral:lncRNA from 1 species
UUUUGAAGUACUUCUGAGAACAAACACAUGCAUCUUUCAUAGCGACAAGCGAAGGACGGACAGAGAAGGAAGGGACACAGAGAAGGCAGGGACACAGUAGAAGGGACACAGAGAAGGAAGGGACACAGUAGAAGGCAGGGACACAGUAGAAGGCAGGGACACAGUAGAAGGCAGGGACACAGUAGAAG